CUUGUGACGUCGCCCGCCUCUUCCGGUGACCAGGCGCGGGCGCGCUGGCGACUGCCGAGCCCCUUUGGGGCGGAGCCCGGCGCCGUGCGCCGCAGCGGCGGCGGGAUAAAAUGGAAAGGAACCUUACUCUCAAAGAAGCGCUGCGGCAGUUGUCGUUCUGCAGACCUGCGGCCGGACUCCGGCGCUUUUCAGAGUCGGCCAGCCCCGCGCGCGACCUAGCCCGGUACCCCUGGAGCCGCGCGUGGCUGCGAGGUCGCUGCUCUUACUACAGGGGUGCGUUUCAUGCUUGGCCGAGCAUCGGGCGAUGCACACCAGGGACCCCCUUGGAUACAGACUCCGUGACCGUCAGAGAGUUUUAGCGGAUCCGAGAGUGACUGCCGUUUACCGAGCACUUUGUGUAAGAAAGCACGCACUGAGAUGAGUGCUUUCAGUAAUUAACCAUAUUCUUUUUUAAUCCUGUGAAGUCGGAAUUAUUUAGCUUAUUUUACAGAUGAGGACAUUACGUGCCUACAAAAAGCUCAGUAAGCAUUUCAUCACGGAGACAGGGGCUUGUGUUUAAAUCAGAAGGGUUUCUAAAGAAGAGGGACCUUUCCCCAGGUGGAAUUGUCUCUCCUUGGUUAUGCUGCAGAGUACUUGCUACUUUUUGGUGCUUUUUCAUUCUUCCUUGUAGAUUAACUUGUUGUUUAUAUGUCUUCCUUUUGUAAGCUUUUGAAAAUUGGAACCCAGUCUUGUUCAUCUCUUCAGGAUGCUUGCUUAUUCAAUCAGCACGCAUUUACCAAGCACUGAAGGAGGGCAGGGAUUGUGCUGAGUGCUGAGGCUUCAGUGGUGAACCCUUGAACCAGACAAGUAAAAAGACAAUCAGAACAACUGUUAAAUACUAAGAUGGAGUUAGUUCUGCCGGAACACCCAUGGAAGGGUGGGGGGAGCAGGUUGAGAGAAAAACGUGGCCUGUUAGGGACUGCAAAUAGUUCAGGAUGGCUACAGUGGAGAGUGGUGAGGUGCGUGUAGAGGAGGGAACAGGCAAACUUCUUCUAUAAGGGGGCAGAAAAUAAAUAUUUUAGGUUUUGUGGGACAUCCCUUGUUGCUGAACCGAACUGGGCUCCGCGUGUCCUACCUGAAGCCAAGCUGAUCUACUGACAACUGGGUUGUGGUGAGGGAAAGUACAGGGCGCCAAGCAAGAUGAACAGGCAGCGGAUGAUCAAAAGACCGGAACUCACCUGAUGGCUUUCAGGCAAGAGUUUUUAAAGGCAACACUACAGUCUGGGGGUCUGUGUGCUUGUGGUCAAGGUGUGUUCAACAUCCUCUGCCUGGUUGGGGAUCUUAGUUUCUUCAGAACAACUCAAAGAUAUGCAUCAGAUUGUUAUCUAUAUCCCUUCAGGAGAGCUAGGAGUUCUGUGGCUAUUGUUCUAAUCAUUAACUGCUUGAGUCUGCUCUGGAACUCAUGGAAGGCCAAGCAAGAAGCAGGGGAUAUGAAAAGUUUGUACCCAGGAAGGCCUCACAGGGUCCUGCUUUGUUUCAGUCCCACUUUUCUUUGAUACUCCUCAAUCCUGAGGGGAACAGGGACGGGACAAGAAAGGGAAUAAGUUUUGGACAAGAGAGGUUAAUCAUAAACUUGGCAGGGAAACUCGGUUUUAGGAGGACUGGGUUUCAUCCUUGACCUUAGGAGGUCACAGCUGCUCACCUUGUAGCUGAAAAGCAGCCAUAGACCAUAUGAAUGGCAGGGGUGGGGGAGGUGUGUUCCAAUAAAACUUUAUGGAUGCUGAGGUUUGAAUUUCAUGUAGUUGUCAGUGUUAUGAAAUAUCAUUCAUCUUCUGAUUUUUUUCAACCAUUAAAAAAUGUAAAAACCUUA